rnacentral:rRNA from 1 species
AGUGAACGCUGGCGGUAGGCCUAACACAUGCAAGUCGAACGGCAGCACAGUAAGAGCUUGCUCUUACGGGUGGCGAGUGGCGGACGGGUGAGGAAUACAUCGGAAUCUACUUUUUCGUGGGGGAUAACGUAGGGAAACUUACGCUAAUACCGCAUACGACCUACGGGUGAAAGCAGGGGAUCUUCGGACCUUGCGCGAUUGAAUGAGCCGAUGUCGGAUUAGCUAGUUGGCGGGGUAAAGGCCCACCAAGGCGACGAUCCGUAGCUGGUCUGAGAGGAUGAACAGCCACACUGGAACUGAGAAACGGUCCAAGCUCCUACGGGAGGCAGCAGUGGGGAAUUUUGGACAAUGGGGGGAAGCCUGAUCCAGCCAUACCGCGUGGGUGAAGAAGGCCUUCGGGUUGUAAAGCCCUUUUGUUGGGAAAGAAAAGCAGCAGGUUAAUACCCCGCUGUUCUGACGGUACCCAAAGAAUAAGCACCGGCUAACUUCGUG